GAAAAAAGAGUGGAAAGUAUCAUAAUUAUUUGAAGGGAGACUUUGCUGAUACGACAGCCCGUACCUGUACAGAUAUCAAGAUGAAACGUAACUGAGAUUCUGUUACAGGUUUGGCAAGGUUUACCUGGCGAAGAAGAAGAAGAAGGGUGGAAGUGACGCCGGGAAACUUUACGCCAUAAAGAACAUCAGGAGGAGAUCACUAGAGAGGAGGGACAUCGACCAGGCGUGGAUGGAGCGUCACGUAUUUGAAAAAACGCUUAAAAAAUUAUUAAUUGCGCAGGGGAGGUGCAUUUUUCUCUGCUUUGGAGUUUUUAUUUUUGCAUAUAGCAUUUCACUUUAAGAUAUGAGCUGCCAACCAGGAAAUAUUAUCAGAACUUUUUGUUUUCAGACCAACAAGCUGCAGACGCCAAAAAGGAAGGAAACAAAGGACGUGGAAAAAUUCAGAAUCCCUAACAUGGCAUACAUAGUGUUGGAAU